AUUGAACGCUGGCGGCAGGCUUAACACAUGCAAGUCGAGCGGAGACUUCGGUCUUAGCGGCGAACGGGUGAGGAAUGCCUGGGAAUCUGCCUGGUAGUGGGGGAUAACGUUCCGAAAGGAACGCUAAUACCGCAUACGUCCUACGGGAGAAAGCAGGGGACCUUCGGGCCCUUGCGCUAUCCAGAUGAGCCCAGGUCGGAUUAGCUAGUAGGUGAGGUAAAGGCUCACCUAGGCGACGAUCCGUAGCUGGUCUGAGAGGAUGAUCAGCCACACUGGAACCUGAGACACGGUCCAGACUCCUACGGGAGGCAGCAGUGGGGAAUAUU
rnacentral:rRNA from 1 species